rnacentral:tRNA from 1 species
GCCCUCGUAGCUCAGAGGACAGAGCGGCGGACUUCUAAUCCGUUGGUCGCAGGUUCGAUUCCUGCCGGGGGCG